rnacentral:rRNA from 1 species
AUUGAACGCUGGCGGCAGGCCUAACACAUGCAAGUCGAGCGGAUGAUGGGAGCUUGCUCCUGGAUUCAGCGGCGGACGGGUGAGUAAUGCCUAGGAAUCUGCCUGGUAGUGGGGGAUAACGUCCGGAAACGGGCGCUAAUACCGCAUCCGUCCUGAGGGAGAAAGUGGGGGAUCUUCGGACCUCACGCUAUCAGAUGAGCCUAGGUCGGAUUAGCUAGUUGGUGGGGUAAAGGCCUACCAAGGCGACGAUCCGUAACUGGUCUGAGAGGAUGAUCAGUCACACUGGAACUGAGACACGGUCCAGACUCCUACGGGAGGCAGCAGUGGGGAAUAUUGGACAAUGGGCGAAAGCCUGAUCCAGCCAUGCCGCGUGUGUGAAGAAGGUCUUCGGAUUGUAAAGCACUUUAAGUUGGGAGGAAGGGCAGUAAGUUAAUACCUUGCUGUUUUGACGUUACCAACAGAAUAAGCACCGGCUAACUUCGUG